rnacentral:tRNA from 2 species
AUUUAUAUAGUUUAAUAAAAACAUUACAUUUUCAAUGUAAAAAUAAAUAAAAUUUUAUAAAUU